UAGAACAGGAACUCUUCUCCCCCUAUCCUUUUUUUUUUUUUAAACCAGAGACCCCUUUAGUCUUGGAACAACAUAUGUCUAAUGACCAAACAUAUCGAAUGCCUGGAUAACCAGCCUCAUCACACUGAAAUGAUGUCAUUUGUAGAAAGAAACAUUUGGACUGGCACUGCAAUCCAGCAAUUCACCGCGGCAUCUGAGGUGGCCCCUAACACGACAAACAACACAGAGGCGAGCCAGACCCUUGUCCCGUGGGAUCAGUACCACCCAACAACAAGAGACUUCCUUAAUAGAGCCAUUGUCCACCAGUCCACCCGUCGGAGGAGAAAGGCCAGUGCCCUGCCUCCUAAACGGCCCGGUCCCUUUUAUAUCCCAGCUGUCACCCUGUCAGCCACUUACAUUUAUUGAGUAUUUACAUUGAAAGGAAUUAGUACCGAGUAGGCCCAAUUUCAGUUUACUCUACCGAUUGAAAAACAAAGACAGCCACAGAGAAUAAAUGCAGAAGACCGAUCUCUGGACAGUGUGGAAUCGACUUCUAAGUUCCUAUAGCAAAAAUAGCCCCUCUACAAUAAUCUAAGGACUGCAGCCCUCCGGUUUCUACCCACGCCAGAGUCGCCUCGUGUGAGGGUGCUGGAGGCGCUUUCUAACGUCUUGGCAUUGGCCCUACAUCUUCCGGGCACUCUGACACGCUUCCUGGAGUUCCAACUACAACACAGACACCGCUGUGGGAUACAACCAGAACCCACAUCUCCCGGCGGCCAGACUAGAACGGUUUCCUCCAAUAUAACAACAGACAGGGCGCCCGUGUGGCUGCGUCGGUGAAGCGUCUGCCUUCGGCUCAGGUCAUGAUCCCCGGGUCCUGGGAUCGAGCCCUGGGUCAGGCUCUCUGCUUAGGGGGGAGUCUGCUUCUCCCUCUGCCCCUCGCCCCACUUGUGUUCUCUCUCUCUAAUAAAUAAAUAAGAUCUUUAAACAGCAGCAACAACAGAGAGAAGUAGAAAUAAACUCUGUCAAAAUUGACAAUCAAAUAUAUAAACUUUGGGUCUGAAACAGAUUUUUGUGUAAUGACGAGAUGGUUGAAUUACUAGGAAAUGUACUGGCAAUGGCACCUCCCCAAACUGGUUUUAAAAUAGAAAAUGAAAAAAAAAAAAAAAAAAAAACAACCACAAAGAAUCUCCAAGAAGCAAUUUCAUGUGUUAACACGACAGAUUUUAGAAAACAUCAAUAAAUGUACAAACUCUAUUAAAAAAUAGGGCACAAAUUUUAGUUGGAACAUAAAGUAACGUCAUCCACUCUUUGUCAAAUCUUCCCCUAAACUUUAUAACCUCGUGGGUGAAUGGUUUACCAAUCCAAUUUUAUUACAAGGUAGAUAAAUAAUUCUUAACCUUAUUCACUUUUCUUUAAGAAUAUACAUCAAUCUUUUCCUCAGGUCUGCCACUGAAGUACAAGGCCUCAAGAGCCGCCCCCCUGGGCUAAUAGUCCCCGCGGACUUCCGCAGACCCCUGGGGCUGCAAAUGGCCAUUCUCUAGCCCAUGUUGUCAGACGCUUUUUUGGUCAAAUGUUUUAGGAUCAGCAAAACUUUCUCUUUGUUUCAAGUUGUUCUUUAGUUCCAAGGUUUUCUAACUUGCCAUAGAUUUCUUGAUAGAUAUUUAUAAUUUUUUUUUCUCCCCGGAAGAGAUGCCUGACCUGUAAAAACUCAAGGACUUCUAAGGGCGUCGACCUCACCGGUUGGACCCCCUCCCUGAUGGGGGCUAUCGACACCAGGCGGGCUCAUCAGGGAGAAGCCGCUGCUCUUCGAGUCCCCUGGGGCCAGGCUUGGUUUGAAGCAGGAAACGCUGGCCUGGGCCUCUCAGGGUUUCUGAGGCAAUGGUGACAGGGGAGGUCCUGGGAGGAUGGCCAAGAAAUAAGUUGUCGGUUGAAGCCACCACAUCUGACUCUAUUACUGUUAUUCUAGAGGCUUUAUCACAGAUAAGCCUGGUCAGCUCUUUAAUUACUAACCUAUUUUUCACCUUUAUAAAUUUCUCUAGCAGUUAUUUUUAGCCUAUGAGAUAGCUGUAUAAAAUUUCACUUCAUUGAUUUCUGUACUAUGACCUACUACUAUUUUUUUUAAAUCUAGGUUCCAUGCCCAGCAUGCAGCCCAAUACAGGGCUUGAACUCAUGACCCUGAGAUCAAGACCUGAGCUGAGAUCAAGCGUUGGACACGUAACCGACUGAGCCACCCAGGCGCUCCUAUUAUGACCUACUCUUGAAUAUAGUUGUUAUAUGUUUCUUUGACGUGAAUUAUUUUAUUCCUGUAAUUCAUUGUUAAGAGCGCCCCAUGAGGAAGUCCACAGACUAGAGUGGAUUCUUUUUCUAUUGUCAGCUUUGCCCAAACUCAAAAUCUCCUUCUUCUCCUGUCCUCUUCACCUCCACCUCUAUCACACACAUCAGUUCUGUGACAGGACCCCCGAACCCCUCCUCUCCGACUCAUUCUCCGCUUUUCGCCCUGGGGAGGUUUUCAGUAAAUGCUGAGCAACUGAUAAUAUCCAUCUCCCUUUUCAUUCCUUACAUCGGGAUGGGAGAUUAAUUUCAAUUUAGUUAAAUGUUAAAUUUUAUAUAAGACCAUCAGGCCAGGGUGUAUUGAAGCAACUUUGGGACGCAUUCUCUUUAGGCAAAUCAUUCAACAGCAAAAAAAAAAAAAAAAAAAAAAAAAAAAAAAAAAAUCAGUUAAUUUUCCCUCAUCUUCUAGAGGAAAUAAAUCCCUCACUUCUUUUAGGAAUCCCUUUGAUUCCUGUUCCUUUGAAUACAUGGUUUUUAGUUUAUAGAACUUGAAAAUAAACUAUCACCCCACUAAAAAAAAAAAAAGCAUUUAAAAAUGGCUAUUAGUUCACUCCUUAAUUAAAUGUACUCCCUAAUCACUGAUCGUGGUGUAUUCUCAAGUGAGAGGUCAAACCCUGCGGACUGCCGUUCAUUUUCUACAGUCCCCACGGUUUGCCCCAUCAUCUUCAGAGAGACCAGGAAUUCCUAGCUUUGAGUCUACCCGCCUGCUUUUGGCUACCCUUAGUCUAUCCCGGUGACAGACAGGAGCCUGUAAGCCCUUCAGAGAAUGAUGUCCCCGCUUCUCAGGCCACAAGGCCCCCCUCCGAGAGGCCACUGUUCUACCGCUGCAGCCGUCCUGAGUUCCAGAGGGUUUGUUCUGUCUGAAUUCCUUAUCCACAAUCAACAUUAUAAACGAAUCAAGUUGCCAACAAAGUCUAAAAUAGAGCGGCGAAUUUAAAAAUAAAUAAAAUAAGGUAUAGUAGAGAAUCAUUGACAAUCUACACUUGGGCCAAAAGUUUCUAAAUAAAGUGGAGCUGAUUCAGGGAGGAACCAUGGGAUACAUACAUAUAUAUUUUUUGAUAUAGAAUUUCCUGUAGCCUUACUGACUUUGGCAGGUCACACUUCAAGGUUAGAGGAGGCAGCCAAGCAAGAAGGAUGCGUGUUAAUCGUCCCCGUUUCAAACGAAAACCUGAGGUAAGGGCCCACGUGAGCGUCUGCUGUGUGCAAGGCACUGCUGAUGCCCAGUGACACCCCCACCCCCACCCCCACUCCCUGGCCAAGGGCCCGGAAGCCCUAAGUGGAGCAGGAGCGGAUGUGCUGGGAGUGGUAGAGUGUGCGGCCCAGAGAAGGAAAGAGAGUUCUAUCGCACCUCAUUGCAUCUAAGAUGCCACCAGUCGUAAGAAAGCCCUUCUUAUGUGUCACUAAGAAAGAACAAACACUGUCACUUACACUAGGACGUGCCAUGGAGUAUAAGACGUGUGGAUGUCGCAGGUGUUCAAGUGAGACUAAACACGCCCCUUAAAAACGGAAGUUUCCACGGUGAGGGGAAUGGAAAGCAAGAAGUGUAGAAAACUCAGAGGGAAUAGAAUACUUAGCAGGAAAAGCCGAUUUAAACAAGCGCAGCCGAUAAAAUAUUUUGGACCCACCCCACCAGAUGCUAAGCCACUACAAGUCCUAUUCAGGGAGUCCCAGGCACCCCUCUUACUGGCCCACACGAAAGCCAACGGCCCCCGUCGCUGCAGUCCCUGGGCGGCCAUCUCCCGGCCGCAAGCAAGAAGGCCAGCAGGUGGUCUAGAAGAAGGGGGCCGGCUGGGGCUGGA
ensembl:lncRNA